AUUCUCCCUUUUUUGUUUAAAACUCAUUACAAGCCGAGAAGUGAAAAACAAUGUUAUCACCCUAUUCAAAGGGUUGAAAGAGUCUUGUUUGGAGUUGUGUGGGGUUGAAUAAUUAUGUUUAUAAUAUUUCAGAAGUUGGCAGAAAAAGAAAAAAAAUAGAAAAGAAAAAAAAAGAAUGAAAAAAUAGAAGGAUAAGAGGAAGAAAAAAAAAGGAAUUAUGUUUGUAAUAUUUCAAUACAUGUCAAUACAUACUCCUUCAACAAAAAAAAAGAAUAAAAAGAGGAAGGAGAAGAGAAAACAAUUGUUAUAGAGUUGUUCAAGUGAAUGAAAUAUUUUGUAAAUUCAACUCCUGCAGUUUCUUUCAAGUCUCUUUUAUCUUUUUGAAUGUUAGCCUAGUACCCCUUAGGAUUU
rnacentral:lncRNA from 1 species